rnacentral:rRNA from 1 species
AGAGUUUGAUCCUGGCUCAGGACGAACGCUGGCGGCGUGCCUAACACAUGCAAGUCGAACGGAAGCAAAGAUUUCGGUUUUUGCUUUAGUGGCGAACGGGUGAGUAACGCGUGAGGAACCUGCCUUUCAGUGGGGGACAACAGUUGGAAACGACUGCUAAUACCGCAUAAUGCUUUUUGAUGGCAUCAUUGAAAAGCCAAAGAUUUAUUGCUGAAAGAUGGCCUCGCGUCUGAUUAGCUGGUUGGUGGGGUAACGGCUCACCAAGGCGACGAUCAGUAGCCGGUCUGAGAGGAUGAACGGCCACAUUGGGACUGAGAUACGGCCCAGACUCCUACGGGAGGCAGCAGUGGGGAAUAUUGGGCAAUGGGGGAAACCCUGACCCAGCAACGCCGCGUGAAGGAAGAAGGCCUUCGGGUUGUAAACUUCUUUUACCAGGGACGAAAAAAGUGACGGUACCUGGAGAAAAAGCAACGGCUAACUACGUGCCAGCAGCCGCGGUAAUACGUAGGUUGCAAGCGUUGUCCGGAUUUACUGGGUGUAAAGGGCGUGUAGGCGGAGAUGCAAGUUGGGAGUGAAAUCCAUGGGCUCAACCCAUGAACUGCUCUCAAAACUGUAUCCCUUGAGUAUCGGAGAGGCAAGCGGAAUUCCUAGUGUAGCGGUGAAAUGCGUAGAUAUUAGGAGGAACACCAGUGGCGAAGGCGGCUUGCUGGACGACAACUGACGCUGAGGCGCGAAAGCGUGGGGAGCAAACAGGAUUAGAUACCCUGGUAGUCCACGCUGUAAACGAUGAAUACUAGGUGUGGGGGGACUGACCCCCUCCGUGCCGCAGUUAACACAAUAAGUAUUCCACCUGGGGAGUACGACCGCAAGGUUGAAACUCAAAGGAAUUGACGGGGGCCCGCACAAGCAGUGGAUUAUGUGGUUUAAUUCGACGCAACGCGAAGAACCUUACCAGGACUUGACAUCCAACUAACGAAGUAGAGAUACAUUAGGUGCCCUUCGGGGAAAGUUGAGACAGGUGGUGCAUGGUUGUCGUCAGCUCGUGUCGUGAGAUGUUGGGUUAAGU